AAGACAAAAGAGAGAAGACUGAAGAGUGGUAAAGCUUGUGGUGUGAGAUUUGGAUUGUUGUAAGACACAUUUGCGCUGCAUCCUGAAAACAGUGAAGUGGAGAUGAUUUUGCUCUUUCAGCAGAUAGAGAGCCCUUCCGAAACAGAUAAACACGCACAGUCCUCAGUGGAGGCCCUCUACCGGCCUCGUCUACUCCUGAGCACACCUCUUGGACUCCCUUGGCUAAAGCCCACAGCUGAAGCUUGAGGGUUCCUUUUACCUUCCAGCUGGCAGGGACGAGGAUGUGCUUUAGCAAGAGCAAAGAUUUUCUACUGAUAAUAUUCAAAUGCAAAGCUGUCCUGUUGAUUUGGGGGUGGAUUAAAAGUAAUUAUAAAAUGUUAGAUUCUAAGAAGAGAGUAGAGCCUAAUUUGGUCAUCACUUUUGUGGUAACAUACUUCUUUCUUUGCUGCUAACUGGAUAUUGUCUUUGAAAAUGCUUUGACGUCUGCCAGGUGGCUCCAGCCAGCACCUACUCUUUUUUGCUUAGCUUACUAUGCCUAAUAUCCAGUGUCUGAAUCACAGAUUUGGGAUCUUUUAAAAACGGAAUUUGGCGCUUGAUUAUAGAGUCUCAUACUAUCUUCACAUCUUACUUUCUUGCAUAAAUUUUGAGUUUUAAGGACAAAGGCCACUCCAUAUUCCUCCUACUCUGAUUAACUCCCAGCAUGGAACAAGCAUGUAGUAGAGUGGGAAAUCUUUGUUGGAUUUAAUCAACUGAAUGGAACCCUGGGUUUUUGUAUGAUGUCUAGAUAGUUUUAUGAAUAAAAUAGGUGUUUACUAAAUAAUUGUUUAGUAAAUGGCUAACCCAUCCCAGCCUCACUGGGAAAGAGAGGGAAAGGGGAGCUCCUCUCCCUUUUGCUGUGGUCAAAUAAAUACAUGAUUUAUUUGCUUUACUCUCUCUUUUAUAUCAACUAGUAAUUUUCAUAUCAUUAAAUUUUCUUUAAGGGAAGAGGUCAAAGGAAUAUCUUUAAAAGGGAUCCAGGGCCUCUCAGAGUUCACCUGAGCUUUCCCAAGUCUGGUUUGUUCUCUCUACCCUGCUGCUACUACUGCAAGUGACUUUCACAAGAUGCUUCUGAGCAUAGCAUUGCUCUGCUGUGACCACUGCAGAUGUCAAGAGAAUUUCUGCCUUUUGGAACUUGGACAAUAUUGGCCACCUACCCAGAGAGAGGAGAAGGAUAAUCCAGACAUAAAGUGUGACCCUGGAUGGGUGAAGCAUGGCUCUGGAACCAGCAGCAGCAGCAGCAGCAGCAGCAGCAAUAUCUUCCUAAUCCCUAGGUCGUUCCCAGAGCAAACGGUUCAGGGGGAAGCUUACUGAUUUCCGGUCCUCUGACUCAGGCAGAGUUGGCA
ensembl:lncRNA novel transcript, antisense to IQCJ-SCHIP1